AUGAGCUGCACAAGCCUGGGGACCCCUGGUGCCAGCUCAGAUGCUCAAGGUGUGGAUGGUCAUCUUCCUCCCAACGUCUGCACAAGCUGGUUCUCUCCUAAGCUUGCUCCCAUCUUCAUUGGCCAUCCCAGCCCACCCUUCUGUCAGGAUGAACAAGUGUUUCUGUACAACCAUCAUGAGCUCCCUUACACCCACCAGCAUGCAGAUAAGUGCCCCAGGGCAAUAUGCGUGUGUAGGAUGAGUCACAGUAGGAGUUUCUGGCAAAAGUUUUGUGUGGUUGGGGGGAUGAUGACUUUCACAGCCACUGGGGAUUUUCUGCCUGACCCCCGCCUUGGGAUUUGUGAGCAAGGACUGAGCGCACAUGGUAGCCCUGUGGGGUAUCAGCAUCAUGGCACUGCAGCAGCAUUUCCCCAGGCUCUGCUGUCCCCACUACACAGGGUGGAUGAGAUUUUCUGGAGCAGCCUAUUCUUUGCAAGCAAGCCUUCUGGAAGCAAUAACCCUCUCCACAGCAUUUUCCUCCUCCCCUGCUUAUCAGCUCUUUUGCUUAUUGCCCUGUCACUCAGCACCAUGAGAUACGUUGGGCACCAGAGUACAGAAAGGACAUAAAACGACUAGAAAGUGUCCAAAGGAAGGCUAUGAAGAUGGUGAAGAGUCUGGAGGGUGAGAGGUAUGAGGAGCAGCCGAGGUCCCUGUGUGUGCUUAGCACAGAGCAGAGGAGCUGAAGGGAGGCUUGAUGGCGGCUGCAGCUCCUCACAGGGAGCGGAGGGGGAGCGCUGAGCUCUGCUCUCUGUGACAGUGCCUUAGGGAACAGCAUGGAGCUGUGUCAGGGGAAGGGCAGGUUGGUUCUUCACCAGAGGGCGGUGGGCAUGGAACAGGCUCCCCAGGGCAAUGGGCACAGCCCCAAGCCGACACUUCAAGGAUAGUUUGGACAGUGCUCAUAGACAUGAGGUCUGAUUUUUGGGAGGUGUUGUGUGGAUCCAUGAGUUGGACUUGAUCCUUAUGGGUGCCUUCCACCCAUAUUCUAUUAUUCUAUGAUUCUGUGAUAUUUUUGCACGUCUCCAAAAUGAGCUUCCAGGCUGAGUAUCCCGAGUGAUUUGGUGUCACCUGCAACUUUUGCCACUCACUAUUCCCUCACUACUUCCAGAUCAUUCUGCAUUCCAUAAACAGUGCGAUCAAAGGGCUGGACCACCUCUCCUAUGAAGGAAGGUUGAGGAGCUAGGCUUGUUUACCUUGAAAAAGAGAAGAAUCUGGGGAGACCUCACUGCAGCCUUCCAGUAUUUGGAGGGAGCUUACAACCAGGAUGGGGACUGAAUUUUCACAUGGUCUGAUAGUGAUAGAAAAUAGAGGAAUGGCUUUAAACUAAAACAGGAGAGAUUUAGGUUAGAUGCUAGGAAGAAAUUUUGUACUUAGAGGGUGUUGAGGUGCUGGAAGAGGUUGCCUUGAGAGGUUGUGGAUGCCUCAUCUCUGGAGGUAUUCAAGGCCAGGUUGGAGGGGGGCCUGAGUGACAUGAUCUGGUGGUUGGCAGCACUGCCCGUGGAAGGGGGUCUGGGAUGAGAUGAUCUUUAAGGUCCCCUCCAACCUAAGCUGUUCUGUGAUUUUAUGAUUC
ensembl:lncRNA